UUCCUUGUUUUUCCGCACUGAUAUGAUUUAUUUUCUGAGUUGCCUGAACAAACAGGUUGUUUGGGCCAUUGUGUGGAGCAGCCUGGAGGUGGUUUUUGGAGAAGAGAGAGCUCUCUUCUGAGGAAGAAGUAUUACCCGGUUGCAGUAACUGUUGAGAAGUGAUUGUCUGGAAGUCCACAUGUCGGUGAAGCCAUGGAGGGCGGGGAAGGAACCCAUCCGAUUGAUGUGAAUGGUGGAGUGUCACUCAUUGGACCAGCUGCCCCUGAAAAAAUUCUCAGCCAACACUUCCAAACCUCUCUCCUCGCCCAGCCACCCCUACGAGAUUGGGAGGGAUGCGGUUUACACCGGAACCUUUGGCGCUUAUUAUGAAGACAUCAAAAAAUAUUUUAUCUGUGGGCAGUGAAAUGAAGUAAGAAACGAGGCUGUUUGUAGGAAAGCAUCAGCCAUUAAAUGAUCAAACCUGGAAUCAGAGCGCCCGGCUCUGGCAUCAUUAGCUUCAUGGCCUCAGACCCUCUCUGAGUCUCAGCCCUCGCCUGUAAAGGGCUGCCAGGGCAUUUAAAUAACUUGCUUGAAACAGCUGGGAUAGCGUCUAGUUCUCGAAGUGUGGUCCCCAAACCAGCAGCAUCAGCAGCAUCUGAGAACUUGUUAGAAACGCACCUUUCCAGCCCCACCUCACCUGCUGAAUCAGAGCGGGCAGGGAGGAAGCGACAGCAAUCUGUUUUUAUAAGCCCUCCAGGAUCUCCUUGGAGAAGACAAGACACGCAGUGCCCUGUGCCCAUGCAGGGGACUACACUUCAUCUACCACUGGCCCCCAGUUAAUCUGAGUGGACGGUAACUUCCUUCCAUGCCCUGCUUGCACAGUUAUGACGGAAGCCCUCAUUGCUCCUGGAAUACUUCCUGGAGACUCAGACAAGAAGGGUCACUCCCCCGGGUGCUGUGCUAUGGAGGGACCAGCAAAUCAGAAACACAAAAAAUUGUUGAAGGACACGCGGUGACUCUGUUCAGCAGGACGUGGUGCUCAGCACUGAAUAGUCAACCCAGAACCCCAGACGUCCACUCUCAUGACUGACAGUGUUCAAGCCCCAGGGAAACGCUUCCCCGAAUCUCUUCUGCACACCUCUUCCCUAGAUCCCCAAACAAAAGGCAACUCCCCGAGAGCUACUAAACUUGGGGCUUGUGUCAUUACUCAUGUAUGAGAAAAACACAACUUCCUUCACAUUGCCGAGGAAUUUCAGUGGGCAAGGGUUAAGGAAAGACAUAUGAAGAAGCUUGCUAUUCUGGGCUGAGUUGUGUCUUCCCAAAAUUCCUAUGUUGAAGACUAGUGCUUCAGAAUGUGACUGUAUUUGGAGACAAAGUCU